GAGUUUGAUUAUGGCUCAGGAUGAACGCUGGCGGCAUGCCUAACACAUGCAAGUUGAACGAGAAGUUCUGGAGGGAGUCUUCGGACGAACGAAGGAAUGGAAAGUAGCGAACGGGUGAGUAACGCGUGGGCAACCAACCUUACACAGGGGGAUAACGCAGAGAAAUUUGCGCUAAUACCGCAUAAGCGCACAGUACCGCAUGGUACGGUGUGAAAAACUCCGGUGGUGUAAGACGGGCCCGCGUCUGAUUAGUUAGUUGGUGAGGUAAAAGCUCACCAAGGCAACGAUCAGUAGCCGACCUGAGAGGGUGAUCGGCCACAUUGGGACUGAGACACGGCCCAAACUCCUACGGGAGGCAGCAGUGGGGGAUAUUGCACAAUGGAGGAAACUCUGAUGCAGCAAUGCCGCGUGAAGGAAGACGGUUUUCGGAUUGUAAACUUCUAUCAGCAGGGAAGAAAAUGACGUACCUGACUAAGAGCCCC
rnacentral:rRNA from 1 species